UUUCCUUUUCCCCUAAAUCCUAUCUCUCUCUCUCUCUUUCUCACUUCUCACAGCCGCAACACCCACCCUCCAACUUCCUCUCCCUCUUGCUCGGCGAACAACGUGAACGGGGCGAUAAUGUGGGGGCUUGGGGGCCGGUCAUGGGCAAACGGCACAAACGAUAGGGACUCGGGGGUCUUGGCUGGCUCGGUCUCGCGCAAGGGUCGUGGGUGGCUCAGUCUCGCAGAGGGGUCGUGGGUGGUGGUGUAGGUAGCGGCGCGACAAUGUGGCUGGGCUCUUUGUCCUCUCGUUCAUUUCUUCAGACAUAUCCAAGUUCCACAGCUCCAAAGGUCCUCAAUCUCCACAUCGUCGACUUCUACAGUUCCAAAGCUCCCAAUGUAUGAAGAGGAAGAAGAACUUGAAAUGCUUCUAGAUAACUAUCUCCAAAGGUUUGCUAUCAUCUCCCUUGUCCCUGGCAAAACAGAAAGAGAAGUCUAAAUGCUAUUUAUUUGUUAACACAAACAAUAAUUAAAUAACCCUCAUGCUAUUUAUUUGCUAGAUUCAAAUUUUGAAUUUCUGCUCUAUCUCAAA